rnacentral:rRNA from 1 species
UACGUAGGGUGCGAGCGUUAAUCGGAAUUACUGGGCGUAAAGCGUGCGCAGGCGGUUUUGUAAGCCAGAUGUGAAAUCCCCGGGCUUAACCUGGGAAUGGCAUUUGGGACUGCAAGGCUGGAGUUUGGCAGAGGAGACUGGAAUUCCUGGUGUAGCAGUGAAAUGCGUAGAUAUCAGGAGGAACACCGGUGGCGAAGGCGGGUCUCUGGGCCGUAACUGACGCUGAGGAGCGAAAGCGUGGGGAGCGAACAGG